rnacentral:rRNA from 1 species
AGUGAACGCUGGCGGUAGGCCUAACACAUGCAAGUCGAACGGCAGCACAGUAAGAGCUUGCUCUUACGGGUGGCGAGUGGCGGACGGGUGAGGAAUACAUCGGAAUCUACUUUUUCGUGGGGGAUAACGUAGGGAAACUUACGCUAAUACCGCAUACGACCUACGGGUGAAAGCAGGGGAUCUUCGGACCUUGCGCGAUUGAAUGAGCCGAUGUCGGAUUAGCUAGUUGGCGGGGUAAAGGCCCACCAAGGCGACGAUCCGUAGCUGGUCUGAGAGGAUGGUAGGCCACACUGGAAGGUAGAGGGGGUCCAUGGUCCUGCGGUAGGGAGCAGAGGGGAAUGUUGGGCAAUGGGGGCGAGUCUGAUCCAGCCAGAGCGAGUGAGAAAAGGAGGCGUUCGGGGCGGGAAGCCCGUUUGCGGGUAAAAAAAAGCAGCAGCUUAAUACGCAGCGGGCCUGACGGUACCCAAUAAAUAAGCACCGGCUAACUACGUG